rnacentral:rRNA from 1 species
CAUGUAGGCGGUCUGCUAAGUUCGGAGUGACAGUCACCAGCUUAACUGGUGAAGUGCUUUGAAAACUGGCUGACUUGAGAGCGAGAGAGGGACAUGGAAUUCCGGGUGGAGUGGUGAAAUGCGUAGAGAUCCGGAGGAACACCAAAGGCGAAGGCAGUGUCCUGGCUCGUUUCUGACGCUGAGGUGCGAAAGCCAGGGGAGCGAACGGGAUUAGAUACCCCGGUAGUCCUGGCCGUAAACGAUGACCACCAGGCGUGGGAGGGAUCGACCCCUUCCGUGCCGUAGUCAACACAUUAAGUGGUCCGCCUGGGGAGUACGGUCGCAAGACUAAA